rnacentral:lncRNA from 1 species
AGGUGUGUUUAUUGUUUUCUCAUAACGUAGUUAAAUAUAAAGUCGCUUAUGCGUUUGUGCAGACGGCCUGGUGCUUUCAGAAACCUUCUGUUCCAAGUUGAGAACGUUUGUUCCAACCUUCUGUUCUAAGUUGAGAACGUUUGUUCCAAGUAUUUAUUUUGGAUAAUGACGCGUUUUACAGCUAAUUGUGCUUCAUUAAGUCGUGCAUUUUGCAAAGUAUAUUUAGUGGUAAUACGUUUGUGUGGGCUUUCCCCUAACCAAAGGGUAAUGGCAACCAUCUCCACUAUGUUUUUGGUGAUCUGUCGAUAUUACUCUUUUCUCUGAACUUUGUCGAUUUAACGAUUAAUGCUAGAGUGAGCACAUGUCCGGACUAUUGAAGAAAAAUUGCUGUUUUGUGUUUCCGAUUCACUUCUUUUCCUUUCAAAACUGUAAAGCUUAAGCCCGAAACGCACAGUAACACAAAUUAGAUGGAAGCGAUCCAUAAGCAUAACAUCCGAACAAAUAAACUCAAGACAAAUAUUAGGGCAGUCGCAUUACGGUCUACUAGUAUUCAGCCUUUACUAGUAAGUGAAAUGUCUUUAAGUUCAAUUCUCAUCAAAGACGGAUGUAAACCGUAUUAUUGUAAACUCAUUAUGAAGUUUAUCUCACUCCUCUACUUUUAUGUUAGUUAAUAUCAUUUGUUAAAAGAAAAAGACCAAUAUCUGGGCAUUUCAACGUCUUUCACCAGCAACGAUAAUAACAUCUUUCACUAGUAUUGGGCUCAAAUGUUGUCUAGAUUACAAACACUUUUCGACCCGUUUUAAUUAAGAAAAACUAAUGAAAAUGACAUGAAAACUUUAAGUUUUAAUUAAAAUGACAAAAAAAAUGUUGUAAAUAAAUAGUACCAAGAGUGACUUUUUAGAGUAAAAAUAUCUUUAACGUUAAAAGUGAACAUAGUAACAGAAGUGCUUCGUUAAAACUCCCAAUUAAUAAACAAUAUAACAUUAAAAAGCUUCUCAUA